CGAAUAGCUCAGUAACACGUGGCCAAACUACCCUUCGGAGCUCCAUACCCUCGGGAAACUGAGGCUAAUAGAGCAUACCACAAUCCAGCUGGAAUGAGGAUUGUGUCAAACGCUCCGGCGCCGAAGGAUGUGGCUGCGGCCGAUUAGGUAGACGGUGGGGUAACGGCCCACCGUGCCAAUAAUCGGUACGGGUCAUGAGAGUGAGAACCCGGAGACGGAAUCUGAGACAAGAUUCCGGGCCCUACGGGGCGCAGCAGGCGCGAAACCUUUACACUGCACGCCAGUGCGAUAAGGGGAUCCCAAGUGCGCAGGCAUAGAGCCUGCGCUUUUGUACACCGUAGGGAGGUGUACGAAUAAGGGCUGGGCAAGACCGGUGCCAGCCGCCGCGGUAAUACCGGCAGCCCGAGUGAUGGCCGAUUUUAUUGGGCCUAAAGCGUCCGUAGCUGGCCGCGCAAGUCCAUCGGAAAAUCCACCCGCCCAACGGGUGGGCGUCCGGUGGAAACUGCGUGGCUUGGGACCGGAAGGCGCGACGGGUACGUCCGGGGUAGGAGUGAAAUCCCGUAAUCCUGGACGGACCGCCGAUGGCGAAAGCACGUCGCGAGGACGGAUCCGACAGUGAGGGACGAAAGCCAGGGUCUCGAACCGGAUUAGAUACCCGGGUAGUCCUGGCCGUAAACAAUGUCUGUUAGGUGUGGCUCCCACUACGAGUGGGUGCUGUGCCGUAGGGAAGCCGCUAAACAGACCGCCUGGGAAGUACGUCCGCAAGGAUGAAACUUAAAGGAAUUGGCGGGGGAGCACUACAACCGGAGGAGCC
rnacentral:rRNA from 1 species